UGUUUCUCUCUGUCUCUCAAAACUGAAUAAACAUUAAAAAAAAUUUUUUAAUAAAAAUACAGAGAUUAGAGUGUGUUGGAAUAAACUAGACAAGGCAUCUAAUAGAAGAGGAAUUCUGGGACAUUUUAGUUUUCAGCGCUGUUUUGAUGAUUUGCAAAGACCCGGAAGGCAGUACAGUUAAUAAUUAUUAGGGCAUUAUUUGAGAAAUUACUCACAUCUCAAGUUGGAGUAAAAAAUCCAGUCAAUUUUCAAGUACAUUUCCAGAAUUUAGAUGAGAUAGUAGACAAUUAAUAUACAGAGGGACAUAUUUCAUAACAAGUCCUCAUAGUUUUCCACUUUUGCUUUCUGUCUCAAACUCACUGAGCUAUUUGUGGUUGUCUGAUCGUACUCGGAUUAAACACUUCUUUGCCUUUGUGCAUAUUCUCUUCUCUAUGCAAUAUGCUUUUCCUUUCCCCACCUCCUAAACCAGCUCAGAGGAAACCUGCUUCACUGAGAUCUUUCCAGAAACACAGUACCCCUUCCCCCACCACAGACACCAAUAAAAUGUCCUUCCUUUAUGAUUACUUAUUUCUAUAGUUUCAGUCACCAUAUGAAACAAAUUCUUUUUUUCUAUGGGCCUUUGGUAAGACUGAGCUUAAAUACUCAAUGUCUUUCAGGACCUCAAUGCUUGCAUUUAUGGAUAGAUGAUACAAGGUGGGGAAAAGAGGAGGAUUUUUGUCAACUUUCCUUCUGCUCUGAGGGAAUUUUUCAACUUCUAAAAGUGGAAAAACUAGACAAGAAACAAACUGAAAUUCUCAGGAGCACCUCUUUGCUGAACAGAGAAUACAAAAUACCUACAAUUUAAUCAAAUACUCACAUUUUUAUCUCUUCAAGAGUAGAUAGUUAUACAUGAUGUUGGGACUAAAAGAGAAUAUAAUCAUAAUUUCAGCUGGUAACUGACAUUUAGCUCUUCUUCCAGCUGACAUUUACACAGGAAAAUACACAGAGUUAAAAGUCUAUGAAGGCUCUCAGGGUCUACAAUACCUUCUUCCUCCUACUAGCAUUCUUGUCUAUUUAUAGUGACAUAUCCAGGUGCAAAUUACAAAGAAGUCUUACUGGUUACACUCAGGCCAAUGCUGUCCUGCUUUAAGAGAAAAUCGGCUGCAUGUGGACUCAUCCAGUUGUUUUUUCCGGUAACUGCCUGCAAAUGUCGUCACAGAGGAAUGUGACCACCUUGCUUCAUUCUGCCAAGAUAUGCCAGCCUUGCGUCUGAUCAGAUCGAACUGUUGAGAGCUGCUUCAUUUCUCUUGGACACAUCCAGUGCUGGUUUGUGUGGUCUGACUUGCUAGCUGAGAGUCUGAACUCUAAAAACCUCCGUUUGCAACUGAAUGAUAGCAAACUAUGCCGUUCAGUCCCUGGUUUGUUAAAUGUGAAGAAAAUGCUGAUCAAGAGCACUAGAACAAUGAACUCUGGAUUGUGAGUGAGAUUUAGUGAAAACAGAAGCUUCCUGAGUGACUGGCCUCAUACCCAAUAAAACCAGCAGGUGGCGUACUGGCAGGUUGUUGACAGAAUUAGCAAUCGUCGAUAUGUGAAGCUGGGAGAUCAUGACUCAACAUAAAGUUGAUAUGCCAGAAGGGAAGAGCCUGCCAACUCUCCAACCCAGGCAUCUUUUGCCGGAGUCGAUCCACAUUUUGAAGAGGAGACGUGUGAGGGGAAAAUCUGCUUCAGAGACUGUAUGCUCAGGAGGAGACAGGAGAGCUCAAGUACAAUGAAAAUAGGAGUACUAUGAGAAAAUGAGAAAUCGUCUGGUAACUGGUUCCUACCCCAGCCUGUGGGAGCAGCCCCUGUGAGGAGAGAGGCAAGGAUCCUGUUCUCAGGGAACAGCACUAUUUGGGGAACUUAAGAGUUUCACAGUUUGGAACACCUAAGCAAGGCAGGAUUCUCCUACAGGAACGGCAGCAGCUAAAAUAGCAGAGGCCCAAGAAAAGCCUGGGAGGAGCAAGCUGCACGUGAGUGUGAGCUCGUUUGUACAUCAGUGAGGAACCCCAGGGACUUCCAAAAAUACGUGACAAGAGGACUUUCGGGGACUGAGAUCCUGUCUCAUGAUAGGACGGAAUCCCAAGUCAGCAAAAUUUGAGCGUAAAACCUCAUAUGAUUUUAUUCAUAAGAAGAGUGUUGAUCUUUGAAAUAGUUGGCUUCUAUACACGACAAGAUUUGGUAUUUAGGUAUGAGCCUGAUAAAUGGCUUUACUGUCAUCCUAAGAUAUCUCUAUAUGGAAUUCUAACCACACCUUAACACUGGCCAGGCAGAUGUUACAGAGCAUUGAGGAUGAGCUCACAUGAUUUCCUCCGUGUUAGUUGAAAGGAAACAUUAAUUGAGAUUAAGCAUUUGGUCUUGCUGUGAGUAGAAAAGUUCACUGACUUUCAUGUGCACUCACCUUCCUCCCAUCAGGAAGCUGAGGUGGCUAAGCAAAGUAAAUUUCUCCAAGGUUACCUUUAUGCAUCAAAUUUACAGGUAAAUAUUAAUGUACUUCGACUCACAUUAGCACCAUCUACAUUUCAUAGUACAGUUAAGUUUUUUCUGAAAAAAAAUUCAGUAUUUUAUAACUGCUUUUGUGCCACUCUAAUAUUUUAUAAUCAAACAUAGCACUAAUGACCAAAAUGUUGAACUUAUAUGAACCUCAUGGAGCAGGAAUUGUCAUCAAGCAUUUAUGUCAAGGGGGUUAAGAAAGUUCAUAAUUAGUAACCAACUAACCCAAAUAUGAUAGUGGAAGAAAAAUAAACAGGCUGCUGUCGCUUUUUGAUUGUUCUUUUUCAAGGCAAAUUUGACUUGUUCAUCAUUUUCUUCAUCUCACCUGAAUAACCAUGCUAACAUUUAGCAAGUACUGGUCCCAGCCAUCACUCCGACACCCUACAUGUGUUACAGUUGUUCAUUAGAUACACCCCUUACAUGAUGAGAACUCGACCUUCUGAGGUGUUUGAGAAGUGGCUUAGGAAGCAUUUGUGUUUAUGAAGCCCCAUAUGGCUUUCUCAGGCUUUAGGAGCAGCUGAGUGCCACCAUCUAUACAAACAUAUAGAUCAUAAAAGCUACUGCUUCUCUUUUCAAAAUCCUUGUACUUUACUAGUUUUUAGCAAGGGUGUCAUGACUUCUAUGAUGGCAAUCUACUGGGUGGGUGUAAUGCUACAAUUGUUUUCACUGAUUUUUCCUUUUUUUUUUUUUCUUCUGUAUUAAAGGUUGAACUGCGUAAACAGUAUCAUAUGCAUGUUUAUUAACUCUUGUCUUCAGCGUGUACCAGAGCUACAAAAGCUACAUGCACUCUUGGAAAGAAGUAAAUAACCAUAUGAGAGAGUGACAAUAAAGAAAGAAUUCCUUGAGGCA